AUACACGUAUCAGGGUUUCUUCCCAAAUAAAAGCAGUUUACAACCCGUAGGGCCGUCUUCCUGCACGCGGCAUGGCUGGUUCAGAGUUUCCUCCAUUGACCAAUAUUCCUCA
rnacentral:rRNA from 1 species